rnacentral:rRNA from 1 species
AGCAGCCGCGGUAAUUUCCAGCUCCAAUUAGCGUAUAUUAAAGUUGUUGCAGUUAAAAAGCUCGUAGUUGAAUUUCGGGAUCAUCAGGUUGGUCGUGCCUCUGGUAUGUACUGAUUUCGAUGGUCCCUCCUUCUUGAAGAGCCGUAAUGCCAUUAAUUUGGUGUUGCGGGGAAUCAGGACUGUUACUUUGAAAAAAUUAGAGUGUUUAAAGCAGGCAAGCGCUUGAAUACAUUAGCAUGGAAUAAUGAAAUAGGACGUUUGAUCCUAUUUUGUUGGUUUCUAGGAUUGACGUAAUGAUUAAUAGGGAUAGUUGGGGGCAUUAGUAUUCAAUUGUCAGAGGUGAAAUUCUUGGAUUUAUUGAAGACUAACUACUGCGAAAGCAUUUGCCAAGGAUGUUUUCAUUAAUCAAGAACGAAAGUUAGGGGAUCGAAGACGAUCAGAUACCGUCGUAGUCUUAACCAUAAACUAUGCCGACUAGGGAUCGGACGAUGUUAAUUUUUUAAUGACUCA